CCUACGGGAGGCUGCAGUGGGGAAUAUUGCACAAUGGGGGGAACCCUGAUGCAGCGACGCCGCGUGAGUGAAGAAGUAUUUCGGUAUGUAAAGCUCUAUCAGCAGGGAAGAAAAUGACGGUACCUGACUAAGAAGCCACGGCUAACUACGUGCCAGCAGCCGCGGUAAUACGUAGGGGGCAAGCGUUAUCCGGAUUUACUGGGUGUAAAGGGAGCGCAGACGGCUGUGCAAGUCUGGAGGGAAAGGCGGGGGCUCAACCCCCGGACUGCUCUGGACACUGUAAAGGGGGAGUGCAGGAGAGGUAAGCGGAAGUCCUAGUGUAGCGGUGAAAUGCGUAGAGAUUAGGAGGAACACCAGUGGCGAAGGCGGCUUACUGGACUGCAACUGACGUUGAGGCUCGAAAGCGUGGGGAGCAAACAGGAUUAGAUACCCCUGUAGUC
rnacentral:rRNA from 1 species